rnacentral:rRNA from 1 species
GGUAUCUACCCUUUGGCCUGGAAUAACACGAGGAAACUUGUGCUAAUACCGGAUAAGUCUUCACGGAGAAAGCUUUAUGCACCAUUGGAUGAGCCUGCACUUGAUUAGUUUGUUGGUAGGGUAAUGGCCUACCAAGACUUUGAUCAAUAGCUGAUUUGAGAGGAUGAU